CAUUCCCACCAUCCAACAGGUAAGAGAGUAUCCAUACAAUCCCUGCAUACAGUCAACAGUAUGUGGUCAAAAGAGUGCAGGGGUCAGUAGUGAAUGUAGGAAUAUAUCUUCUGUUCAGGUGAGGGUUCUUACGGCAUGCUUGAAGAGUGUUUGUACCAAGUUUCUUGCUGUUUUCUUUGUACGUCAGGGUUUGUGGUUUGGGUGUGGAUGUUCUGUUCUACAAAGUCAAUAACCAACUUUUUUGUUAUGCAAUUAGAAUGUACUGUAUAAGGAUCCAUAUAAGAUCUGAAUUCUAUUUCCCUUUUCAAAUAGGAUGUGCUGUAGCUCUUACUAGCUGGUCUUCUUUAAUGAUUGUAUACAGUACACGGAUGGCCAAAACAAUCGAUCACGUGACACCAUUCAUUCCUAUGUGAAGACUCAAUAGCCCAUUGAAGGCAAGUGAAGUAGGUUAAGAUGGCGUCUCAUGGAGACAUGACAUGCAGCAGUUUGAGCUACUCCAGGAAGUGACGCUGCAGGCUAGCUCAGUACUGCCCCCUCUCAUACGGUACUGCAGGCUACUAUUAGCAACUAAUAGAUCCUUAUAACUUCUUCUGUGUGCAAAUUUGUAAAAAAUCAGUUCAAGGACAUACAUUUGGUGUUGUAGAUGCAAUUAUUGGUACCAUGAUUGUCUCCAGAUUGACCAAAAAGAUAGCAAUUUUUCCAUUCCUUAUAAUGGGGGAUCCUGUUUUCUGCAACCAAUGCUUGCAGUACCGCGGUCGGGCUAGAACUUCUGUGGCUUUAACUAGAGAGGGCAGUCAUUCUCCCCAGUCUUUCUAUUACUACAAUAUAAAUAAUUAGUACGAUAUAAAGUACUUUGCAACCUAAUGAAUUGUGCAAUAUACAGAAAAUUAAAACAAUUCAUAAUCAUCAUUAGUCCGUAACCAUACACUAACAUAUCUGCAGCAUCACAMCUCCAUAGCUCAUAAGCUCUACAGMCCAGCAGCUGCUGUGCUCCCAGCGGUAUGUGCUCCUCGGGUGGACCUGUGUCCAYCCUGCCCMCCUACUACGCUGGCUAUGUGACGCCUGGUACUUUCUCAUGCCCACUACCUGUCCCUGCUGGAGCGUUCGCCCUCCAAUGCCGUUGUGCAGGCCCUGGAGGUGGUGUGCGCAAGCGAGGAGAGCAGCCGCGGCUUCCUGCAGGUCCUGAGGGAGGUGCAGGACUACUACUGUGAUGAGCUGCAGGUCUGGGUGGAGAGACACUGCAGGGAGAGGACGGAAGGGACAAAGGAGACCAAACCGGUUAGAGUGGAGGAGAAGAAAAAGCCAAAAAGCCCCAUUUCAAAACUGUUCAAAGGCAAGAGUAAAUUCACUGUGKCCACUGAGGUCAAAGUUGAGGAAGAGUUGAAACCUUGGCGGAGUGUAAAAUCUUCUCAUCUCAGAGUUCCCCUUUCAGCUCACAGAAAUACCCUUCUGGAACGUACAGAAUGGCUUGCAUCUUACGCAGAAGGGGGAGGGCAGGCCUCCAACUCCAAUGUUAUGGUCUCACGCCAGUAGAUAUACAGAGCACCUUACUCAGUCAGAUCCUCUCUGAAAGAGGAGAGGGUGGAGAUGUUUUCCKUCUUCCACUUGACCGUCCAGGAGCAUCUGGCCGCCCUGUAUUGUGCAAUCAACCUCACAAAGCAGGGGCACAUCAUCCAGGCUCUGGACUUCUGGUGCUUUGGUGAGAUCCCACCACCUUCUACCUCCCCAACUCCCUUACUGAGCCAAGACCUCCACCUGGACCAGACUAGGGUGGAGAACCUGCAGAUGUUCACUCGCUUCUUCACGGGGCUUCUCCGGACCAGGCUGGGGGGACAGUUGGAUGGGCUGGUGCUGGCCCCUAUGGAGGUGGGCUUGGAAGGGGAGGAUAUCCGCAUCAGGCUGAGUAUCUGGUUCCAGAACCAGUUUAAGGGUAGGCAGCUAGCCAAUCAGACAGUGCUGAACCKGCUCCACUGUUUGAUGGAGCUGCACAUGAAGGAAGUCACCAGCAGGGCGGCACCAGAGAUCCGGAUUCUGAACCUGUUCAAGAUUAAGCUGAGUGGUUGACUGUGCAGCGUAACACUACGUGUUGCAAUUCUCCCCAMAUAGGCUCAAGGAGCUCAACCUGGGAUACUCCAACAUCGGAAACAGAGGUCUUAGCAGGCUAGCUCCGAUAUUGCACCGCUGUGAAUCUCUUUAUCUGCGAUUUAACUGCCUGGAAAGGGAGGCAGCCAUCCUGGAAUCUGAGGUGUUGAAAUCAAAUGAGGUGAAGAAGCUGUUUAUGUGUGGUAACAACUUGGGUCUGGAAGGGUUUCUGGAGCUGUGGAAUGCCCUGGAGCAGAACACUAUGCUGGAGGAACUCUACUUGGACAUCACUGGCAUCACAGAGAGAGGAACCGAGAACAUUGUCAACUGCCUAGCAAGAACACCUCUCUGAAAACGCUGACGAAAACGCCGCCCCCCUUUCGGAAAAGCUGACCACGACUCCAUUUUGUUGAUUCCAGCCUACAAACAGAAACUCA